AGAGAAAGCGACUUUGUUUUACGUAUAUUUUUUUAACUCGGCCGGUGAUAAAAAAUCUUUCUGUGUAUGUUAUAAUUAUAUGCUUUAAGUAGAUAUCUUAUAUAUAAUUGUAAUUAUAUAUAAACCUUGCGUAUUAUAUAUGAAGUAACUGAAAUAUACAUUGUAGGAAUUUUAAUGUAAUAUUACAAUCUUCAAUCGUUACUGAGAUUUUCUUGUGAAAUGCUAUGGUUUGUCGCAUUGAGCAAAGAAUUAUUAAGUGUUUUAAUCUGUCCAAUAGUAAGGCGCUUGAUUAAGCCCGGUAUAUGGCAAUAGACUCACCUCCUAUUACAUAGGACCUAUAACAUAAUUAUGAAAAGUGGGUUUUACACUGUAUAUGUGUGCACCUCUGCCUACCCCGUUUUCAAAAGAGAUAUAAUGCUAUCUCUUUCUAUCUUCACCAUAAGAAAAGGACAGCUAUAGUAUAUUUUUUUCACUAGAAAAUCUCAACUAACGAUCUAAGUCCAAAAACUAUCACUUUUGUAAUGUAUCGCUAUGAACUGCGUUUUUUAUAAUUAUGACGACUAAGCUUGCGACUAGUCGGUCAGACUUGUCGCACGACUAACGCACGACGCUGUGUUAUUAUUUUUUUUUAAUCGUGUACACUUUUUGGGUAAGAUGUGUUUUGAAUUGUGUAAUAAUUAGAAUUUUUUAUGUACUAUGUAGUGUUAAGAUUGUCCAGGCGACACACGUACUUAGGUAUCGUCAUGAGUUAAUGUUCACAUGUAAACAGCAGCUCAUGUAGUGUAGAUGUCCAGUCGACUGAUGGUAGCGAGGUUCACUACAGGUGAAGCUCUACCUACCCUUUUAUUAAAAAAACUUGAUAUUGUUUUAAAAUGACUACCUAAAAUAGCAACUGCCCAUGACAUACACAAUUCAAAUUUUGACCGCCAU